UACGUAGGGCGCAAGCGUUGUCCGGAAUUACUGGGCGUAAAGAGCUCGUAGGUGGUUUGUCGCGUUGUCCGUGAAAACUCACAACUCAAUUGUGGGCGUGCGGGCGAUACGGGCAGACUGGAGUACUGCAGGGGGAGACUGGAAUUCCUGGUGUAGCGGUGGAAUGCGCAGAUAUCAGGAGGAACACCGGUGGCGAAGGCGGGUCUCUGGGCAGUAACUGACGCUGAGGAGCGAAAGCGUGGGGAGCGAACAGG
rnacentral:rRNA from 1 species